AUUUUUUUAGUAUAAAAGUACAGGUGACUUCCAAUCACCAAGUUCUGGUUUAAACCCAGAAGAAGAUAA
rnacentral:tRNA from 1 species